UACGAAGGGGGCUAGCGUUGUUCGGAAUCACUGGGCGUAAAGGGCGCGUAGGCGGCUAUUCAAGUCGGGGGUGAAAGCCUGUGGCUCAACCACAGAAUUGCCUUCGAUACUGUUUGGCUUGAGACCGGAAGAGGACAGCGGAACUGCGAGUGUAGAGGUGAAAUUCGUAGAUAUUCGCAAGAACACCAGUGGCGAAGGCGGCUGUCUGGUCCGGUUCUGACGCUGAGGCGCGAAAGCGUGGGAGCAAACAGG
rnacentral:rRNA from 1 species